rnacentral:tRNA from 2 species
GGGCGAUUGGCUCAGCUGGCUAGAGCGUCCGGUUCACAUCCGGAAGAUCACUGGUUCGAAUCCAGUAUCGCCCACCA